AACGCACAUUGCGCCCCUUGGUUAUUCCGAAGGGCAUGCCUGUUCGAGCGUCAUUAUCACCCCUCAAGCCCCGGCUUGGUGUUGGACUUUAGUUAUAGCUUUGCCUAUCAACUGGUCUCAAAGAUAGUGACGGCGCCCCAGAGGGAACCGGGUACGAGGAGCUUUUUACUAAGCAUGUAUCUGGGACGACUCUGAUGGGCGACGGUCUUGUUAUACUUUUUACCUAAGUGUUGACCUCGGAUCAGGUAGGAAUACCCGCUGAACUUAA
rnacentral:misc_RNA from 1 species